AGAGUUUGAUCAUGGCUCAGGACGAACGCUGGCGGCACGCUUAACACAUGCAAGUCGAACGAGAGAAGAGGAGCUUGCUUUUCUGAUCUAGUGGCGGACGGGUGAGUAACACGUGAGCAAUCUGCCUUUCAGAGGGGGAUACCGAUUGGAAACGAUCGUUAAUACCGCAUAACAUAAUUGAACCGCAUGAUUUGAUUAUCAAAGAUUUAUCGCUGAAAGAUGAGCUCGCGUCUGAUUAGCUAGUUGGUAAGGUAACGGCUUACCAAGGCGACGAUCAGUAGCCGGACUGAGAGGUUGAUCGGCCACAUUGGGACUGAGACACGGCCCAGACUCCUACGGGAGGCAGCAGUGGGGAAUAUUGCACAAUGGAGGAAACUCUGAUGCAGCGAUGCCGCGUGAGGGAAGAAGGUUUUAGGAUUGUAAACCUCUGUCUUCAGGGACGAAAAAAGACGGUACCUGAGGAGGAAGCUCCGGCUAACUACGUGCCAGCAGCCGCGGUAAUACGUAGGGAGCGAGCGUUGUCCGGAAUUACUGGGUGUAAAGGGAGCGUAGGCGGGAUCGCAAGUCAGAUGUGAAAACUAUGGGCUUAACCCAUAAACUGCAUUUGAAACUGUGGUUCUUGAGUGAAGUAGAGGUAAGCGGAAUUCCUAGUGUAGCGGUGAAAUGCGUAGAUAUUAGGAGGAACAUCAGUGGCGAAGGCGGCUUACUGGGCUUUAACUGACGCUGAGGCUCGAAAGCGUGGGGAGCAAACAGGAUUAGAUACCCUGGUAGUCCACGCCGUAAACGAUGAUUACUAGGUGUGGGGGGACUGACCCCUUCCGUGCCGCAGCAAACGCAAUAAGUAAUCCACCUGGGGAGUACGACCGCAAGGUUGAAACUCAAAGGAAUUGACGGGGGCCCGCACAAGCAGUGGAGUAUGUGGAUUAAUUCGAAGCAACGCGAAGAACCUUACCAGGUCUUGACAUCGUAUGCAUAGCUCAGAGAUGAGUGAAAUCUCUUCGGAGACAUAUAGACAGGUGGUGCAUGGUUGUCGUCAGCUCGUGUCGUGAGAUGUUGGGUUAAGUCCCGCAACGAGCGCAACCCUUACUGUUAGUUGCUACGCAAGAGCACUCUAGCAGGACUGCCGUUGACAAAACGGAGGAAGGUGGGGAUGACGUCAAAUCAUCAUGCCCCUUAUGACCUGGGCCUCACACGUACUACAAUGGCUGUCAACAGAGGGAAGCAAAGCCGCGAGGUGGAGCGAACCCCUAAAAGCAGUCUUAGUUCGGAUCGUAGGCUGCAACCCGCCUACAUGAAGUCGGAAUUGCUAGUAAUCGCAGAUCAGCAUGCUGCGGUGAAUACGUUCCCGGGCCUUGUACACACCGCCCGUCACGCCAUGGGAGUCGGUAACACCCGAAGCCUGUAGUCUAACCGCCAGGAGGACGCAGUCGAAGGUGGGAUUGAUGACUGGGGUGAAGUCGUAACAAGGUA
rnacentral:rRNA from 1 species